rnacentral:rRNA from 1 species
UACGGAGGGUGCGAGCGUUGUCCGGAAUCAUUGGGCGUAAAGCGCGUGUAGGCGGUUCGAUAAGUCUGCUGUGAAAGUCCAGGGCUCAACCCUGGGAUGCCGGUGGAUACUGUCGAGCUAGAGUACGGAAGAGGCGAGUGGAAUUCCCGGUGUAGCGGUGAAAUGCGCAGAUAUCAGGAAGAACACCGAUGGCGAAGGCAGCUCUCUGGGACGGUACUGACGCUGAGACGCGAAAGCGUGGGGAGCGAACAGG